UAAUAUAGAGAAGUAAAAAUAUGGUCAAACUGUACAUUGGUUUUAUUUAUUCAUUGUUGAGAUCCUUGGUUGGAACCUGUCUCUGAGUGUCUGUAUUAUAGAAUGCUUUUGUAGGAGCUAGGUCAUUAAAAUCGUUAAGGGGCUGGAGCAUCCGAUGUACAGGGAGAGGCAGGGAGAGCUGGGACUGCUCAGUCCAGCUGGAGAAGAGAAAGCUCAGGGGGAUUUAUCCGUGUGUAUAGACAUGGGAUGAGGGAAAUAAAAAUGGCAGGGACAGGUUCUUCUCAGUAGUGUUGAGCGAAAGGAGAAGAGGUGAUGGCACAAACAUGGGAAAUUCAGUUUAAAUGUAAGGAGAAAAGACUGCAUUUGUUCAAACAGUGGAACAAGUUUCCCAGAGAGAUUGUGAAGUCUCUGUCUUUGGAAAUACUAAGAACCCAACUGGACAGAGCCUUGAGCAACCUGCUGUAGGUGACCCUGUUCUGAGCAGGAGGGUUGGACUAGACAGUCUGCAGAGGCGCCUUCCAACUUCAAUGAUUCUAUGAUUUUUAAGCCAGUUUUUCCAACAAAUGUAAAGUGCCUAGAUUGUAACGAACAGAAGGAUAUCCUGUAAGGUCUUUGAUUCAAAGGACAUCUUAAUCAGUCUGUCAUUCGCAUAGGGAGUGGAAGUCCCGAAUACAGGGCACGUUACCCUCAAAGAUUCAGCAUAUCCAGUUGUUUUUUCAUUGCAGGGGAAGACCUCAAAAAAGCUGUGAUAGCAUUAAAAGGCAGAUGGCUGGAUAGUUUGUGAAGAUGUGAAUCUCUUGUUUCUUGACUGGCUGGCCAUUCCCCUGUCUAUAUAUAACCAUUUCACCUUUACCCCUUGUUCUUUACUACUCAGGAGCCAGAUACCAGCAGCUUGGGAAUCAUUGGAGAGACAUUUUUGUCCUCAUGUAGCCAUCACCUAUAUGUUGUCCCCAGCCACUGUGGUUUCCAGUAGGCCACAAACAGCCUGGUAUGGUCAGGAACAGGGUAACUCCCAUCAGUGGAGCUGCCAGAAGGGAACCCAUGUUUACAACUGAUGUUCACAGCCUUUUCUGCUCUCGCAGCUAAUGGAGGAGUCCAAAGGCCAGAAUGCAUUUGAAAACUGCAGAUACAAUAGGUAUGCUUGCACCAUUUUGUAGCAGUAUAGCAUAACUUAUUUGCACAGAUGUUUUUGUAGUUUGCAUUUUUUGGAGUGGAGUAGGCACAUAGUAAAAGUACCUUGUAAACGAUAGUGAUUGGGUUGGGUCAGAGACAGAAUGUACUUGUAUAUACAAGUUCAUAGCUCAGUUGUUAGUGACUUAUCUGUUCCCACAGUCCUGGGAACAGAGCCCCUAUCUUCUGAUUCUGAUUUUACCUGUGAUCCAAUGUUUCUCUGUAUUCUUCCCUAGAGCUUGUUUUACUGUCACCCAGCAGUAGGUACCAUGCUGUAGCUGACUUGCCCUCACAAAAGCAAAUGAAGCUGGUGGCUUUUGCCAGAUGUCCUCUUCAAAUUAUACACGUACUUAGCAUGAAGUUAGUUCUGAAGCUACGUGCUGGUAAUUUCUUACUUGGACACUUAAUUAUCACAUUGGCUAUUACAAUGUUAUGACCAGGUUCCAUGUAGGUAAUCUUAUAAACAGUUUGUCCUUCAAGUCAUCAAAAAUUGGCAUGGCUGUAAUUCAGUAGUGCUGGUAAUGUUUGAUCCAUCUCUCUGAUAAUUUACGUGUGAAUAAAUGGUAAAAAUUAGUAAAGACCCAUUUUCAGUCACAGUUCCUUCCUGUUUGUCUUGUGUCUUGUUUAUAUCCCUUUCCAGGUAUUGGCAGCAUGCUUAGCAAACACCAGUAACCCUGCCAGAUUUCUCAGGCUUUUGGUCCUCUAUUGCUAACAGCCCUGGGUUAUGAUAUGCUGAGUUAAGGGUCAUCAACUUUGCGUUGACUGGUUUGAAGGCAUUCAGGAACGGGUCUUUUUAUCACUACCACAAGAGAAUAUUGCCACCAACUUGCUGUCACCAGCCCUUCAUUAUGCCCCAGCAACCACUUGGUCGUUCUCCAAAAGUGUCCCAGGGUAGAUGGUCUCAAGGGUUUCCAUGCAGGACCUGGAAACACUGCGUGAAGAAUGGGCUGCGACUUAGCCCCUGGGACAGGCACAUUUCAGCCCAUACCAACACAUGCAAUGCAAAACCACCAACUCGCUUCAACCCAUGAGGCUCGGGGACUAAAGUGCCAUAUGCACUCAGGGAUACUGAGCCACCCCAUGGUAUAGCUUGAUAAUCACCUCUAAGAUCAGAAAUGCUCUUCUGUUUUAUUCAGCAGCAUGGUUGUAUUACCAGUCUCCAAAUCUAGGACAGAUUUUGACAGCCAAAGUUGUGAUGCUCACUGAACUGCCCAUGCACACAGGCAGCCAAAAUGCUUGGCUCAAGAGCAAAGGAAGGUGAGCGAAGCUGUAAGAAAUACUUUCUUUUUGAUGAGAAAACUAGUUGCAAUGAUGAAGUAAUGAAACAAAGAUUGACCUGUAUUAGUACACGUAAUUCCUUUUCAGAAAUUGCCAUUAAAAUGCUUAUCAGGUAAACCAAAAGUCUUUCAAAGAACAUUUUCAUAGCAUUAUAAAACAUAAUUUUCCAAAGUCCCAAUGUAGAUGUUGGUGAGAUCUGUGUAAUGCUGAAAUAUAAGGUAUCAGAGGAAAAUCUAUGAAAGAAGCGUGGCGAUGUGUCCAUUUGGAGGAAGUUCAUCAUGAUAAGGUUAGGAUAUUGAAUAGCAAAGGAGUGGGAAAUACACAGCUGAACAGUGAAACGUGAUCUGAGAAUAUCUUGUCAGUGUUGCUUGGGGACUGAACAAUGAAUUCAGAUUUAGACCUUCCAAUGCUUCCCACUUAUAAAGAAAGAGUAAUUUAAAAAUGUGUUCAGAUAUAUCAGGCUGACAACCAACUGACAUGGUUUUUAUGCAAAUAUCAUCAUUCAUCUUUGAGAACUGUGUCCAAUGUAAGAAACCCCUGGCUGUUUGGACCCAAAGGAGGAAAGCAAAGGUCUUGUGUUUGGUCUGCCUGUGCUGUGCUGUGCAAGAUAGUUGGAAAGAAAGAUCACAAGAGGGUCCAGAUAUUUACAGUCUUUCUUAUGGUAGUGUUCUAUGAAGUCGAGAGGUUUGUACUGACCCAGUAGGUUUAAAUGGGUGAAAAUGUAAGGCAAAUAUGAAAUCUCUACAGCUGUGACCUCUCUCUGAUAACCUCUCUAUUUAGAAGUAUUAGCAACGUGCAGUGUAGUGUCACUCAUUUGGAAGCUGACAUUUCACAUUACACAGGUUUUAGUUGCUCACAAAACUUUGCCAGCUUUCCCAAGUCUGAAAUUUUCUGUAAGGGGUGUUGGCCUCAAACUGAUGUUUUUGGGAAGAUUCCAGACAGUUUUGUCAGCUGCCUGAGAUCAAAAUGCAGAUUAUUUGCCCUUGUUAAAAUAGCCCCCCCCAAACUUUGAUAUUUUUUUUUUUUUUUUUUUUUCCAAAUUGAAAAGAAAAAAAUGAAAAAAGAUCUUAUAUUUAAACAUCAGUGUGGUCCUUGUGUUGAGCAGGGCUUCCUGGCAUUCUAUGGAGAAUGGAGAACUGACAAGUUAUAUGGCUGCAUUAAAAUCUUUUAAACACCUUGGUUUGCAAAUACUCACUAGAGUUCUUAGUUGUUAAAAAUAGGGUUUCACAGGCCAUUUUCUUUCUAGUGCUUCCUUAUUAACUGCAAGCUUAAAGGAAUUUUUAAUGGGAUAUGGAGGUUAAUUAUU